UAGCAGAUACGGUUAAGCUGAUCUUGGUCUGGUUUGUGCAAUAUGUUUCAAUGGCUGCUGACACACACAAGAAAGUCCCUCUUUGAGAAUUAUCCAUGGGGUCGCGUGAACCCUUUGACGGGCUAUAGACUAGCCUUAAAAAAUCAACUGGAAAAAGGUGCAUAAGAAAGUUGUUGUAAACCUUGAACAAAAGGGAAAACCUCACGGAUAUCAAUUCCUGCAUUCUUGGUAUCACUUCACCAGGCUUGGGUAUUUGAAGCUAUACCAUCGAUUGAACGUAUAGUCGUCGGGGCAAAUUCGAAGGUACUGCCAAGGAUGCUGAGAUGCAGUGUCAUUAAGAGCCACCCUCAGGCACCAAAUAGAUCAGUUUGACGCAAAACGUGUGAAGCCAUUGUAAUAUCAAGUUUUUUAUUUUCAAGAUUCGUUUAAUGUUGUUUGAUUCGAUGUAGAUAUUAUUCUGUGCCAUGACUGCAGACAGGGGUUGUGCAUCCUUCCCUUGUCCCUACCUCUCGCGAGGUGAUUCAAAAGUGCAUGAGGGACUUUGUGCCGCAUGAAGUUGAUAUACCAGAUGACAAGAUAGAUAGGUUAAGGAAGAGUUGGAAGGGUGACAGCCUUGUCAAAACUGUGCUGGUCUGCAAACUCUUCCAAUAUCCCUACCACUGCAAAUCCAAUCUGGAGGGGGUGAUGGUGUAGAACCUGAUGAGGGUUCGGUAGGGGGAGGAGUCAAUGUUGCCUGUGAGGAAGGGGGUUCAAGCGGUGUAGGUACAAUAGGGGCCGGAGGCAUUUUGUUCUACUGUGGCCCUGAUCCAGAGAUACCCAGUUGGUUGUUGGGGAGGAUGCAGCUAAUGUUUGAGCAGAUGCUUGAGGGCCUGAAGAAAGCUAGUGAAGAGAACCAAAAGAGAGGCAAUACAAGAAGAUUCUUGGUCCCCUAGCUGAAGAUAGGCAUGCAUAUGUGGAAGAGCAAGAGAAAAUACAUAUUGACAAGCUUGAUGAGGCAAAUAAGAAGUUUCUGGCGGGGCUGGAAGAGCGUCAUAAGAAGACUUGAGACGCUGGAUGAAAUGAAGAACGUGGGAGAGCCAGGUCAGUAUUUUGAGCAGAUGCUUGAGGACCUGAAAAAAGCAAGUGAAGAGAACUAAAAGAGACUAGAAGAGGCAGCAAAGAAGUCUCUUGAGACGCUGGAUGGAGAAUAUAAGAAAAUUCUUGGUCCCCUAGCUGAAGAUAGGCGAGGAUACGUGGAAGAUCAAGAAAAAGUACAUCUUGCCACGCUUGGAUGAGGCAAAUAACAAGUUUCUGGCGGGGAUGUAAGAGCGUUCUAAGGAGACUCCAGAGACACUGGAUGAAAAAAAAAGAAUGUGAGAGAGCCAAAUGACAAUUGUGUUAUGAGAAUGGAAGAGCAAAACAAGAAUUUUUUGGAGGGGCUGGAAGAGAAAUUUAAGAAGCUUCUUGAGAGGCCGGAAGAGAAUCCGCAGGGUUAAGGCCAGAGUAAUGUGAUUCUGGCAGUGCUGAAAAAACAAUAUAAUGUGAUUCUGGAAAAAAAUCUGGAUCAAGGAGAUUGUUGGUUUUCGCCGGCCGCCGCAUGGUUGAAAUGGAGGGUGUUGUUAUGAGGCAGUGUCAGCUCUACAGAAUAAAGGUGGAGAGAGGGAGAGAGUACUUUAAGUGGGAAAAUUAGGAACCUAAUGAACUGAAGGUAUAUCUCACCCGUUCCUUUGAUGUCGCAUGGUUUGAUGAAUUGAAAAAAAUGAAUACGUGGAUUGAGACCGAGAUUUCUGUAACGUGUUGACACUCACAUAUAAGGAACUGAAGACAGAGAGUGAAAGGAGCAGAAGGAGGAAUUGGGAACAGUGAUCGACGAAUUUGGAUUCGACGAUUCUCUAUUGGGUUAUGCUAAAGGUGCGCGUCCAGAACCAGAUGGUAUGCCUUGGCUAGGGCCAAAAAGGAUUUUUUGUGUGUGGGACAUUGGAGAAAACCACUUAUGCACCGUUAUUUUCCUGAUGGAGAAGCCAAGACUGAUAUAUAUGACGACAACAUUUCACUAACCAAAACGAAAUCACUGGAAGAGCUAGCCAAACCACUUAAAAAGAUGUCUCCCAAGUUCCUCAAAUGUUGCGGUAAUAUGUUUGAAUUUUUUUUUUAUUAUUUUUUUAUUUUUUUUUUAUUAGCCCCGGGUGUCCGAGUCUCUUUGAGCCUCGACUAAUCCCGGGGGUGCACAGGCCCUCGGCAAGGAGUUUCCCGCAAGUGCACCACGGUUAAUUCAGGGUUUCCCCAGUCCGAUGGCCCUCAGAAAUUGUUUGCACCCAGCGGGUUUCGAACUUGAGACCUUGAAAGGGAGCACCCCAAGGCUCAAGUCAAUUGCCACCAGGCCAACCCCUGAGGGUUUUUUUUUUGAGAAUGGUAAUGUUUAAUAUGUUCGAAUAUUUGGGAAAAGAGAAGCUGAACAAGGAGUGGAAGAUAAGUCACCAUCCUAAAGUCCCACAAAAUCUCUCGGGUACAUCAUGUGGUCCUUACAGCCUGAGGUUUAUUGAGUUCGUUAUGGAUGAUCAACGUAUGGAUACUUGAGUGUAGAUUGAAUUCAACUAUCCAAAUCUUUGGGCAAGAAAUGCUACCACUUACAAAGUAUGGCUUUGUAUGAUGUAUAUUUGGAUGUUUUAUAGAUGAUGAAAUGCAUAGUUUGUUGCUAAAUUAGCCAUUUCCGAUAUAGUAUCUACUGAGUAAAAUUUGUAAAAUCUUCCAGAUAUAGGGGCACAUUAAGACCCAAAAAUGGAUGGAGAAAGUUUGUAGUCAAUAAUAAUAUAAAGGUAGGAGAUCAUCUUGUUUUUAAGAUGUUACCAAAUUCAACUACAAUUUUGAGGUUUGAAGUUGAAAUUCGCCUUGCGGGCUUCAAUGAGCUUUUGUUCAAGAAGCAGUGUGAUGAAGGAACCUUGUCAAAACCGAUUGAGGUUGAUUAGUCGUGUUGAUUUUAAUUUUAAUUUUCACGAUUAAAUUGUCUAAGAUAUUUGAUAUUUGCAAUGUUUAUUACAGAUGAGAAAUAUCGAUUUGCAUGAGAAGAUACACUACGUAACAAUGCAUUUCACUAAAAUAUGGACUACAAAAAGAACUAUAACGCUUGAAGUUGGAAGAUGAGACUAUAAGAUUGGAUGCACUAAAGAGAGGUUGAAAUUGAAAGAAAAGGAACAGGGACAAGUUGAGCAACUACUAACGGGAACAAAAAGGGCUCUAUUGUCUGAACGUGACAUACCACUUCUUCGCGAACUGUAUAAGCUGAAAAAAAUAGUGAAUAGCAUGAUGGAGAAUAAAUAGAUUUUAGUGAUGAACAUUUUAUGACCUAAUUACUUCUUAACUAGUAAUUUUUUUUUUUAAUGAUCCGCUAUCAUUCGUAUGAUAAACAGCAAGACGUAAAAUAAAGUAGUAGUUUUUAAGGUAUAAAUAAGAUUAAGGUAUAAUAAAUAGCAAGACACAACACACUAUUAUUCGUAUAAUAAAAUGGACAUGUGUCACCCAUCCAAGUAAGAACUUGGGUACAUGGAGAGGAGCUAAAUCCCUCGUGUAUUCCACCUAUGUUGAAUUUUCUUAAACUGUACAGUAUUUAUCAACUUUGUAAUGAUGGUACUCUAUCUCUUCAUGUUUACCCGCA